rnacentral:lncRNA from 1 species
GACUAAAAUGACUUUAGUCCCGGGUCAAAAAUGUGCCACCGAAGGCCACCGCGGGGGGAGGGGGGGCGAGUUUUAGUUCCGGUUGCAAAUAACAGCCGAGACUAAAGCCCCCCUUAGUCCCAGUUGUAAUGGCUCCAAAAAAUCCCACCGACGCUCCCCUUUUAUCCCGGACGCUCCCCCUCUUGUCCCAGUUAGAAUUUCCAACCGGGACAAGGGGGUCUUUUGUCCCGGUUGGUAAUUCCAACUGGGACUAGGGAGCCUUUAGUCCCAGUUGGAAACACCAAUGGGACAAAAUGGCGCUCGUCCCGCAGGCGCCUCUCUCCUCUCCACCCGAAGCAGAGCUGCCACCUUAUCCUCUCGACUCUCCUCUCCACCAUCCAAAGCUUCCUCUCCUCCUCUCUCCUCUCCAUCCGAAGAGAGCUGCCCCUUCCCU